rnacentral:lncRNA from 1 species
CGAACUUAUGAUUUGUGUUUUAAGCAAGGUUAUUCCAUUUUGAAGAAUUCUUCAACUUUUGUCAAGCUUUGACAUAUCCAAAAUGUUUAUUAUUUUUGUUUUCAUAUUGCUCCAUGGCCACAUUAUCCGGAUCGAUAUCGGCUUCGUGUACGUUGUUUAUAACAAAGUUGUAAAUUCCAUUGACCUCACAACAGUUGACCCUCAUAUCGCGCCACUUCGAGCAUAUUUCAUCAACAUUUCGAAUUGCACAACUCAUUAAACCAUGAAAACACUUUCAACAUUUCUCUAAAACAGACGUUUGACCAGCGCCUUCUUCCGAAACCGUCACCCAUGCUUGUGCUAAUUUCUCUUCUUCCUCUUUUGACCAUUUCUUGUUUUUGGGAGGCAUGGUUUUUGAAAGAACAAACAACAAAAAUGUAUGAAUAUGACUAAAGGGAGAAGAAAUGUGUGAAAAUUAAGAAGAUGGGUGGUAAUAUUUAUAGGUGAAUAUUGGAGAGAAAAAAUAAAAGAAAGUAGUUAUUGUAAGAGGUCAAACAAGAUUUAAAGAAGGAAAUGAAUUGAUUGGGCGUUGCAGUUCGUUGUUGGGAGUAUGAAGGUCCACGAUCACGACCCACAACGAGCCACCGGGAUGGUGUGCACGAUCUAGACCACGACGUCGUUCGUGGCCUCCAUACCGGAAGGCCUAAUGUGUAUGGCAGGUAAUAUGAACCUUUUACGAGUAUUAUAUUGAUAUAUGUUUGGAUUCUUGAUAAAUGUUGAGAUGGUGGCAUGAUAAAUAAUAUGUAUGAGUUGAUAGUAAAUAGGAAAUCCAUAGAAAGGGUUGAACAAAAAACUUCCAAGCUUGGGAUAUCACCUACAUAAUCCCUAGACAAGGUGAGUAACAUCUAACUAACUUAUGAGAUUAUUAACACAUGAUACAUUUGCUUAUUAUGAAAUUAUGAAUGUUUAGAUACGAAUUAUGUGGUUUAUGUAUAAUAUAUAAAUGAUGUAUAAUGAGAAAUAGAUUGAGUAUGAGAAACACACAUGAUGAAUCUGUGAAAGAUGAAUGGAUCAAACUAUGUGUGAGAUCAUUUGGAUAGAGCCGACUUGUUGAGAUUUUGAUUAAUGGGUACAAUGGAUCUAUGAGAGAUAAAAUGAUCAUAUUAUAUGGAUGAGCUAUUCCAUGAGAUUAUUAAAAUGAGAAUAUGAGAAAGAUUGUUCCUUUUCUAAGGAAUAAUGAUCAAAAUGGCGAGUUGCUUAUCAUUUUGAUAUAAUUGAAUUAAUAAAAUAUGGUUAACGAGUAUCUCAUAUCUUGUUAGUAUAUGAUCAUAUGUUGAGUUUGUUAUAAUGGGAUUGAUUAUUACUCACUAAGCUUCCAAACUUAUCAACUUGGAUACUUUUAUUGUUACAGAUACAAGUAUGUCGGACAAGGGAAAGGGUGCGAUGUAGAAGCCAUAGUGUCUUUUGGUAAUCAAACUUUUAAGGAUGUAUUUUGAUAAGGCGUAAACCCGGCAUGAUCUAAUACUUUAUUUUGAUGUAUAUGAUAAUAACUUGUAUGAUAGGUUAAUAUAAUAUACACUCUCUAGUUUAGAAAAAAUCGAGUGUACUUUAUUUUAGUUGGGUGUUACAGAACAAGAUAGGUUGGAAGUAGUUAUGAAGACUCUUGAAGGUGAUGCUCUUUUGUGGUAUGAAUAAGAGAAUCAAAGGAGACCUAUAUGUGAUUGGGAUGAAUUAAAAGGGUUGAUACGUCAUGAUUAGAGAUCCUCACAGCAACCGCAAAGGUUUUCCAGGAAGAAAUACAAUUGGAGCUCUAAUGUAGCCUCAUGGAGAUGAUAGCUCCGUUAAACGACAGACAGGAAGAUGCGCUUCUAGAGUUUUGCAAAAAUGGGCUUAAAAAUUAGACAAAACCUGGGCAAUUAAUAGCACUGAGAUCUUGAUAAAAUCUCGGUUGGAUAGCGUUUCGCGGGUAGUGGCCAUAUAGUGGUUUCAAAUAGCGCUCAAAAUAGCGGGGCCACUAAUAUCUCUGAGAUCAGUCAACAUUGGCCGCUAUUUACCGCUAUUUCUACUCCGAGAACUCGGUUUUUGACCGCUAUUUCAUAAAAUCUAUUUUAGCUAUGCCGAUUGCUUUUUCUAUCUCUUUUUUCCUUCUUCUAUUGAUUAAUUUCAUAUAAGUAAACGAUUAACUUAUUUAUAAGAAAUAUUUAAUUGAUUGAUUUUACUUAAUUCAGUGAAUUGAUUGGAUUUAGAUUUUAGAACAGAGGAACUAUGUAUUUCUCUUCUAUUAAUUAAUUAAUGAAAUAUAUAUUACAUAAUAUUUAAAAACCACUAUCCCACCGCUAUCUCACCACGAGAACCGCUAUUUUAACUCAUGGCAACUGACCGUGAUUAGAUUUUGGACCUUGAUAACUGCAUAAGGAAGAACUUAGCACUUUGGGCUCACAUCAACCGGAUAGAAAACAAACUCGUUGAAAGGUAGCAAUUUAAACUCAAGCCAAUUAUAGCCAAGGAUGAAAGAACUUAAGCUCAAAUGGAUUGAUUGAAUCGACGACAUGCAAAUCAAUUCCACAAUCGACAUCCUUAACACCUUUUACCACCUACACAUCAGUCUUGUCGUUGCAAUUCUACUCAAUUAAAUGAUAGCAUAUGUUGACACAAUUUUUUUUUAUGUUCGUCGAAAAUUGAGAGACCUCACAUAAUGGUGGGAAAGUAUAAGCUACAAUACACUUAUUCUUCCUUAAUUCUUGGUACGUAUCUAUAAUCCUACUAGUUUGUUUUUAUUAGCUUUACCCUUUUCUAUGUAUGAUUCCGCUAUAUAAUAACAUAUAUUCACACAAGCUUAUUGUUUUUUUAUGUCAUAUGACUAUAUAUGUUUAUUAAUAUAUGUAAAGAAUUCUAUUAUUUAUCAAUAUAUACAACUAACACAAUUUAUAUAACCUAGCAAAAUUUUGUUGAGUACUUUUUUCAUCACAUCUAGUAAGAGAUAGCCACAAGUAUUUGCAUUUUAAGAUUAUUAGGCCAUGCUUCCCUUUGAUAUUUUAUUUGGAUAAUAUGAAUUGGUGAGGGUUCUCACUUCUCAAUGAUAUUUUCUUUUCACCUCAUCCUUACCUAAAUUAGAUCACAUGGAAGAGAAGGUUCUCAAUGAUAUUAAAGUAACUUGAAACUAUACCCCCCUUUACUGUAAGACCUAUUGACCAUGUUAUAUCUCAAUCAGAAGGGUAUUAUGGGGAAUAGAAAAAUUCGCUCAAACGUUUCAGGUGUCUUUUAAAACCAACAAAAUAUAAAGAUUAAAAUUAGGCCAUCAGACAUAGUUGCAUGGUUAGAGUUAAUGUGUUCGAAAAAUACAAUCUUUGUAUCAAGUAUAAAAUCAAUUAUAGAUGUAUUCAUUUAUAAGAGCUUAAAUUAUGAACUCCAAUCUCCUAAUAAUACACAUUCAUAAUCACAGAUUUGUUCUACUUUUAGUUCAAAUCAUUUUUAGAAAAUGAUCAUUAAAGGAUUUGAUUUCAAUGUCAUAAACAAAACAAAACCUCAUAAGAACAUGUUUCAAUUAGUGCUAUUUGUACAUUUCUCUCAUCCUAAUGAUAUACCACCAUGAGAACACAUCCUCUACGAAUCAUAAAAUACUCUUACAUAUAAUGACAAGUUAUCAAGAAUGAAGGAACAAAAGCCGAUUUUUUUUUUUUGGCAAAACUAGGGUCGAUUUAUAAACCAUUUGCAAAAGUAGGGCAUUUCAAAAUCUCUUUGUAAAAGUAGGGUCAAUUUAGUUGGCCCAUUGCAAAAAUCAAUUUUUUUUUAUAGAAUUUUCAUUUUCAACCUCUACAACUUAACUUUUCAACCCUUUGACUUCUAUGAUACUUUUUAUUUGUAUCUUAUACUUUAAAUAUUUAUGUUUAUUCUAAUGUUAUCUUAAACAUAGAUAAAUUUAUGUGUUAUUUCUACCAUAUUACCGGUACAAAAAAUUCAUUAAUAUAUUUCAAUUGAUAUCAAUAUCAAUUUCUAAGCAUAUAUUAAAGUGGUGUCAAUAUUUCAGUUGAUAUCAAUAUCAAUUUCUAAGCAUAUAUUAAAGUGGUGUCAAUAUAUAACUUUUUCUUCAGUCUUUUUAAAACUGUUCGUUCCAUUUCGUUCAGAUCAUUUUUAUGUAUAUUUUUAAAAACCCUUUUUUAUAUAAUGUUAUAGAAUUUGAAUGAAAAUACUUUUUAUAUAACUUAAUAUUUUUAAUCAUUUGUGUGAAAAAACUUAAUUAGUUAAUUUUUAUUAUGAAAAAUAUGUAAUGAAAAUAUAGCCCUUAGAUAUUAAAUAUAUUAGUUGUUGAGUUACUUAUNNUAUAAAUUAUUGAUAUAGAUAUGUUGUUUGAUGUAAAACAUUAUUUUUUUUAACUUUUAAAUUGUUAAUAUUUUUUGUUUAUCUAAACAUGAAGUUAAAUUCAAAAGCAUACAAUAAAAUUCUCAAUAUAAACAAUAAUAUAUCCAAAGACUAUUUUUAUAUAUGGUUAAAAAUAUAAAUAUAAUGUUAAAUAUACAACUAAAACUGAAAUGCCAAAUUAAAUAAAAUAUGACAAAAACAUAUUUUUUUAUUAUAUCUGAUUACAAAGAGUAUGUUUAUGGGGUGUUUGGCUUAGCUUUUUAGAUGCCAAAAGUCCUUUUAGAAAAAGAUAGAAAACAAAAGAUGUUUGUUAAAUGCAUUUUAAAAGCUAAUUUUAGAUUUGGAUACAAGUAAAAAUGAACUUUUUGAAAAAGUUAGGAAAACCUGAUUUUUUUUAACUUUAACACCCUUAUAUGGUUAAAAAUAUAAAUUCACCCUAGUUUUGUUAAAUAAAAAAAAAGUCACAAAACCCCCCAUGACGAAAAUUUUAUCAUAUCUAAUGCUAAUACAGAACUAUAGGAAGUGAUUAAUGAUUACCUAAGUGAGGGAUUUUCCAUGGGUUUAUGAACAAAUACGAAUGGAUGAGAUUUUUUGUACUUCUUGACAUCAGGUGCUUGUUGUCCACCACCUAUUUCAAGAGAACCAUGAAAUAAGGGAGUCCUAGAGGAACAUGAUUUCUUCCUGAUUCUUCUCCAAACCUUGCAAGAACCCUGCAACAAGGAAAAAGGUAUAAAUAAAUAAACGAAUAACUCUGAAAUUUAAUAAUUGUAUUCAAAAGGUAAUAAGAUAAAAUAACAAGAGAGUGACAAUAUAGCUAACCUAUCACCAAGAUGGAGAUUUCUUGAGCUUUUAGAGUCACAAGGUUGCAAAACAGGGGAGUCUUACAUUCUGGGAUCUUAAAGCUUGUGAACUCGUUGAUAUCAAGUUGGGCUUGUGGGGGAAUUAUUUGAAGUUGGGGAGGAGAGAUAUGGAUGAAGAUGAUGGAGAGAAUUGUUUCAUACAAAUAGAAUGGUUUGAGUGGGGUGGCAUUAAUGCCAAACUUUGACGAAAGUACCUUGGAAUGGUAUUUGAUGUUGGAUACAUUUCAUCUACAAAGUUAAUCUACAGCUGUGACUCAUAUGGCUCUACAAAU